UAAAACUUUUUUUUUAAAUUUACCUGCAAAU
rnacentral:piRNA from 1 species